GCUACGAACGACUGAGGGGUCGCCGCUCCGAUUGGGGUUGGUCUGAUUGGAAGCUGGAGUGCAGCCAGCAGUCCUGCUUCGUGGGUGUACAGCGCCAGACACGUUCGGUCCAAUGAGGGAGUGCAAAGACAUCGUACCUGGAAAACUAGGUGCCAGAGAAACAUUUGUCGAAUGGGGUGUUUGGUGCAGGAUGCCCGGCACAUAACCAGCCCUCAUUUAUUGAAUGAACAAGCAGUGCCCGAGAGCCCCACGCAUAAGAAGCGGUGGUGAGAAGUCAUCAUUGUGGAUGGUUGGGAUGAUUGAAACAGUCUUGGGAUUUGUACUUUUCAACAGAUCCAAAAAUCUCACAGGAAAGCUCUCAUCUCAUAUUGGCCAGUAAGUCAUGAUGGGAGUCAAACUAAACACGCCCGCAGGCUGGAUUUGGUUUAUAGGCUGCCGUUUCUAUCUCUGAAUUAGACACUGAAAAGAAUGGCAAGAAGUCACGAAUAGCACCAGCCCCUCCCAGGUGGAGUCAGGAUGUGGCAGUGCUGACAGGUGCAGGGGAGGGAGCUGCCGUCCCGCUCACCUGCGGGAGGUAGGACCCACCCUACACCUGGCUGCCCCGCUUCUCUCUGCAAGUUGCUCCCGCCUGUGGCCUUAGCGCCACCUAGUGGACUUUCCAGGAAGUGCUCCAUGUUGACACCCACCAAGGCCAGAGGGAGGAGGUGGAGUUCCAGGGCCACCAGCCAGAGCCAAAGCAAGUCGCCAGCAAUGAAAUGGAAGCUGUGUUUUGGAUACGCGUAAACGCCAAGCUCCCGUGGGAUGCUGAGGCACGGUCCGAGGGAAAUCAGCGGGGCUGUCUUGCUGUGUUCUCAGGCCGCCCAGUUUUGCUUGCCUACCUGAUGGGAUCUGACCCUCCACGGCAGCAGGAGGCCCCCAGGCCCAAGCCAUUAGCUCAGAACGGCCAGACGUAUUUCUCAGGAGGAAUUAGGUACAUGGGAAUCGACGUCUGUGGCCAAGUUCAUCCCGUUUCACGAGGAUAACAUCUGUGUUCAUGGUGUUUAAAAUCCAUUAUAUUAUGCAUGCUCUUCAAGCUAUAUUUUCCCUUCACUUUUAAAAUCACUUCCCAUCCCCUUAUUUUUGGAAAAAAGUCAAACUCUGUUUCCAAACUCUCCUGCAUCUUUCCACACGUGUUUUCCUAAAACUCAUUUGCUUGAGGGAACCCAUCCCAUCUUGUCGGAAAGUGCCCCUGCCACCCAGGGCAUCGGCGUUUGCUGUCAGAGCUGCGUGCAGUCUUGGGGGCGUGUGUGUGUUGUGUCCCAUGGAAAGCCUCUUAAACCAGGGGACAUGGGUUUUGUUUGCUCUGCUCUUCCUUGCCGGCCCAGUGUAGACCCUGCACACGCGUGUUGGCUGUGGCCAGUCAGCUCUUUGUGAUGUGCUGACCCUUCACGCCAGCAUGUUUGUUGCCGUUGCUGCUGUAAGAGCAGAGCAGAAAUGAUCUGGUGCGAUACCCAGCUCUGAAUGUUCGCCUCAUGGCAGCAGGUUGAGAACAUCACUAAGUCAACUGGAACUUUCAUUUUGGUGUGACCUCUGUGUCCUGACAUAAAAGUCCCAGAUCUCUGCAAAGUCGUUAGAAAAGUCGUUAGUCACUAGAGCACAAACAAAAGACCUGGGAUUUCGAAGUCUCCACUCCAUCACUAACUUCCACUUGCAGAAAGGGCCCUUUUGUCUCAGGUUUGAGGUUUUCCACUUAUAAGAUGAAAUGGAUCUGAGAGUGUGCUGUGAAGGGGCCGUUGGACUGACCCAGAGCCAGCUGUGUGGGAUGGAACACUCGCUUCUUCAGCGUCCUUCCCACCUGCAACACCCGUAGCCCCGGAUGGGAGAAUCCAGCCUUGCUGGAUGGAAUUUGUAAGGAGCGGUGUUGGAGUGUUAUUAAUGGACACAGCACCAACACUGCAGGGCGAACAGAU